UACGUAGGUGGCAAGCGUUGUCCGGAUUUACUGGGCGUAAAGGGCGUGCAGGCGGUUUGUUAAGUUCAGGGUGAAAGCUCCCGGCUCAACUGGGAGAGGUCCUUGGAUACUGGCAGACUUGAGGAGGGUAGAGGAGAGUGGAACUCCCGGUGUAGUGGUGAUAUGCGUAGAUAUCGGGAGGAACACCAGUGGCGAAGGCGGCUCUCUGGGCCCUACCUGACGCUGAGACGCGAAAGCGUGGGGAGCGAACCGG
rnacentral:rRNA from 1 species